rnacentral:piRNA from 1 species
UGAAGCUUCAUUAUGCAGAUG